rnacentral:lncRNA from 1 species
UCUAGCUAGCGAUCUCCUUGCCACGAUCCCGUGCCUCCGCCGGUGCAGAGGGCUCUGAAAAAGAGACAUGAAAUAGAGGGCGUGAGAACUAUUAAAUAAUAGUUCCCAGUGGGCGAUUACUGACUUCAGUGAAUGCACCACUAGGCCCAAAAACUGAAAAGAAAAGGGGUAAGUAACAAUAAAGGCAGUAAAGCGAAAUGUAAGUAAAAAUGUAACUUACUACGAUAUGAUAUCUCUACUUAGCAUGAAUGGCAUAAGUAUAAAAGCAACUAUACAUGAAGCAUAAGUCUACUACUAUCAUGAUGUCCAUAAGCUAAAUAGUAAAAUGUCAUUGUUUACUGUUCUAGUCCAAGUCCACUUGUCACUUUAAUAGUUUUAAAGUUCACAUAGCACGUCACUAAGUUCCAAUCAUAUAAGACCCACCCGAAGGCUGUCUGGCCUGCGCCGUGCCUAAUGGCCUCGUGGUAGUCAACAUCCCCACUCUAGGAAUGAGCCUCCCCCACGGCAUCCCAUUUCGGCGCCCAAACCCGCACGGGCGAGCAUAUGUCGCGAUGGCUAUCUCCGGAGUGCCGGCUUGUAGGGAGCGACCCUCACAAGCAUGUGCGAAUGAGCACAAUGGCAAGCAAACAAUGAUCUGUCCCAAGUACCAAGUCCUCAUGUCUAAAAACAUGGAAUAUAUCGAAUAUCUCAAUGGCCUAUCCCUAUGUCAUCAUGUCUCUAACAUGGAAUACAGCAGAUGUACAAUGGCCUAUUAAUAUGUCUCUAUGUUGCAGUUUCAUAGUUUACUAGUUUCGAGUGCCCCUUUAUGACACUUUGUCCUCUAUGUCCAAGCAUAAUAAGUAUGUUCCAAGGUACAUAUUUCAAGUCAUUAUCUUCAUAGGAGAUAUGUUAUCAACUUGCAAAAGUAAACACUUUUCCACAUGCAUGCAGUCUACUCAUAUAGCUCUACUAUUGUCACGCCCUGGGUCUCAGCGGAAGCCCGCCCAGCACGUGUCCAGACCCGCCAUACGUCUAAAACAUAUAAGGCGUCUAAAAACAGCAAUAAUAAAAGCAAUAAUAAUAGACAUCUAAGAGUAUCAGAGUAUGAGUAAAGUCUAAAUUCUACAUCAAGGUAAGAAGAGUAAAGCUGAAAUCCACUAAUAAAAGCAUAAAGUAAGUACAAUAAGAAUCCCAUAAC